rfam:Nipponia nippon contig46426, whole genome shotgun sequence.
AUGCUCCGGUUUCUCUUCAGAUCGUAUAAAUCUUUCGCCUUUUACUAAAGAUUUCCGUGGAGAGGAACAAGUCUGAGUGUUUGACCAAUUUUUCGAGGCUCCAUUUCGGUGGAGCU